UGAAUCCUGACCGCUGUAGUUGCUGAGGUUUGAAGAACAGAGAAGACCACUGUGAGCUCUCUGUGGAGUUCCAGCUCCCCUUUACACAGUCUGUGACUCCUCUGCUGGCCCCGGGAUAAGAGAGGAAAGCUCUGCUCACAUGUUUCUAGCUCCUGACUCUGAGGGACUGGGAAAUAGGACAGUAUGAAGGAUGCCAUGGGAGCAAGGAGCAUACUUGAACCCCCAGCAGCUAGCACAGUACCCAGCAUAUAGUAAGCUCCUGGUAAGUGUUUGUUGAUUGAGAAAAUGAGCCAAGAAGCCUGC
rnacentral:lncRNA from 1 species